UGACACCCCACCCCCUCAAAUUCCGCUUGGGUCACUGCCUCACUCGACUCAUACCUCAGCUGGAGCCUGUUUAGCUCAAAGAUAGCAACUGCUGCAACAGCUUAAGGAGAAUCUGCAAGUGGCACAGGCAAGAAUGAAGUUUUAUGCCGACCGGUCAAAAUCUGAGAGGGUGUUGCAGGUUGGUGACUUUGUCUACUUGAAGCUUCAACCUUACAGGCAAGCUUCAGUAACCGUUCGUAAGAAUCUGAAACUCAGUGCAAAAUACUAUGGGCCCUACGAGGUUACCCAAAGGAUAGGGAAUGUGGCUUACCGUCUUGCUUUACUAGCUGAUGCUCAGCUCCACCCCGUUUUCCAUGUAUCUCAGCUGAAGAAACGCAUUGGUCCCGCCAUUUUCGUCCCAAUCCCAGUUACCGGCAUGUGGUGAGGAUGGAUGUGUACUGAUCCAACCUUGGCUAUCUUGUAGCGUCGUAUCGAGAGAAGAAACAAUGCAGCGGUGGUACGUGUUCUUGUUCUCUGGUCGAACUUGAGUGCCGAUGAAGCCACGUGGGAAGAUUGGGGCUAUAUUGAGGGCCAAUUUCCUAAGUUCACCGUUCAGCUUGGACCUUGAGGACAAGGUCGAUCUUGAAGAGGCGGGUAUUUGUUAUGAACUAAGAGUAGCAUUUAGGGUUGUGAAUUGGGAAUUUUGAUGGAAUUUGGGGAUUUUUAGAUUCAGCAAUAAAAGGGAUAAGGUGACACGUGGUUGGCUGAGAGCUGAAGUUACUUUACAAGUGGAAUAAAAUCGACGGUAAAGAUUAAAAGAUCAUUAAACCAAAUGGAGGGCCGAGAUCGGUUUUGUAGUUAGUUGUAGGUUUUUAAAUACCUAAUUAGCCAGCUGCAGAAGGCAGUUACUGAAUUGGUAUUCCUUUCACUACUUUCUCUCUCUAAUUCCUCCUUGCCUAAUCUUCUUCUUCUUUCUCAUUCUAACCCACAAUUCUGAAAACACCAUUGCAGGUAUUCGAGUUUCAUGAAGUCAUCCAUGGUUAUUGUAAUGGAUUAGUUACGAUUAGUCAUUACUUGUAUCAGUUGGUUGAGACAAUUUGUAAACUGUUCCGUUAUCGAUAAAAUUCCCUUUUGAUUAUUUGAUUGUUCAAUUUGUAAGAGCAUUACAGCCAUCACCUAAAGGCUCAAGACGUGGUCACCUUGAGGGCACGAGAAUAUGCAAGGAAGAUCCGUUUUGAGCCUACCAUGGAGCAUAGUAUUCAUCAAGGUCGUGAGUGGAAGAUUGCUUGGGGCAUUGAAGGCUUGAGGCUUCAUGGUUUUGGUUUAUCUUCAUUGAGGACAUUUUGGUCACUUUACUUUGCCCAAAAUGCACUCCAUGGCCACCCUUUCAUUAAGGGUAGUGUAGUCAUUUUGUCUUCUUUUGUAAAGUACUAUAAAUAGAACCUCUUAGGGCUUAUUUCUCUAGUUUUGUUCAAUGAUGAUAUUUUGAGACAUUGUAAGUUCUCUCUUUAGUUGUAGGGCAUGGAAAAGCCACCAAACCGUAACUAGGGCUGCCCAAGUGUGGAUAUCACUUGUGUUGCGAUGUUGGCUUGAUACGUUGGUGUUUAGAGGAGGUAAAGUUCCUCUUGUGUCAACGUAGGAGUUAGGUUUUUAUCGUGUGUAGUGUUAAGGGUCCAAAAGUCCACCAGAUUCUUGGGUUCUUAAGAUUAUACCUUCACUUGUCUAACUAUCUAUCCAUUUUAUUGUUGUAAUCGUUUGUUUGUUGUUCUUGUACUCCAACCCGUGAGGUGUUGUUAUUGUUACUACAUUAUUGUUAUUGUUAUCUUGUUGCUAAAAUAGUUU
rnacentral:lncRNA from 1 species